rnacentral:rRNA from 1 species
UACGUAGGGUGCAAGCGUUAAUCGGAAUUACUGGGCGUAAAGCGUGCGCAGGCGGUUUUGUAAGUCUGACGUGAAAUCCCCGGGCUCAACCUGGGAAUUGCGUUGGAGACUGCAAGGCUGGAGUCUGGCAGAGGGGGGUAGAAUUCCACGUGUAGCAGUGAAAUGCGUAGAGAUGCGGAGGAACACCGAUGGCGAAGGCAGCCCCCUGGGCCAACACUGACGCUCAUGCACGAAAGCGUGGGGAGCAAACAGG